AUUCAGCUGACGAGUCCUAAAGAGGACGAAACGCGCUUCCUGGAU
rfam:Schistosoma rodhaini strain Burundi genome assembly, scaffold: SROB_scaffold0007402